GCUCAGCUGGAGCCUUCCCUGUGCAUCCCCUGCUCUGGGCUUGCACCUGGGGCUGGGAAUUGGCACCUGGAGCAGCCCUUGGAGGGCAUUUCCAUGGGGAAAGAGGAGUUAAUUCCCUGCCAGGUUUGCAGGAGCAGCUGGGCACGGUUGGGUUUGAUGGAGGAGCUGAUGGGAUUCUGCUGUGCAGCACCCACAGCUGCUGCUGGUUGCCCCAGCCCCUAUAAAAGCAGGAUGGCCACAGCCCUACCCUUUUCUGAGCAGCCUCCUGAGCUUCUCUGAGUGGGGAUUUUCCUCCUUCCCGCUGGAAUUGUGCUCUCCCAGCACCCAAGAAGCAGCAGCAGCGUUUGAGAGCAGAAAUGAGCAGCCCUGGCAGGACUACAAAGGGCUCCGGAGGAGCAGGUACGCCGGGGAUGAGGUCGAAUUCUGCCCUGAUUUACACCUCACAACCUGGCAGCAGCUAAAGUUUUGCAGACAACCCGACGAGAUAAUCAUCACACGCUGGCAAUCACUUGCCAUCAAUUAUCCCCACGCUGCUGCUGUCAGUGGAUCACAGCCCCUACCUGGUGGGAGUCACUGCUGGUGCCACCGAGGCAUUUUCCAGAAAUGUAGGACUGGGGAGGAUGGGAAACAGCUUCCAGACAGGCUCUGAGAUUGAUAUGCAAGCCAAAGGGAAAUGCAUUAAACUAUUUAACUGCCUGGAAAUCCAGCAUAAUGAACAUCCAAAGCAUCUCCUUCCAGAGGCUGAUUCCUGCCGUGUUUGAAGCAUAAUUGCUGAUAUUCAGGAUCGUUUUCCAGCCCCUCCCAAUAGCAGGGAGCUGUUUUCAGGCACCAGCAGGAUCCCACCCAUUCCUGGGAGCUUCGCAGCACACCCCAGUGAUAAAUCUUGUUUUUUGGGACUUAUGGCCACAUAACCCCCCCAGAGCAGCACCUGAGCUGGAGACUGUGGGGAAAACAAAAAAAGAGUUGCCAGAGUUCCCAGCACUGCUGCUGUGGGAUGAGACAGGAAUCCUCCUGCCCCUGGAAGGUACAGGUUUGACGUUCCAGUGAGUAUUUCUGGAUGAAACUGAGCUUGAACACCAGAGGGAAGCCUAAGACCCCCUUUCUUGGAAGGUGGGAAUUCCCAUUUUCCAUGGGGCAAACUGUGCUCCAACUCCCCUCCCGUGCAGUUCCUUGAAACAAAUCAUACUUUGGGGAUAAUUUCUGGAAGAUCUAUCCUGAAGCUGGAUGGGAGGAAGGUCAAAGCCACCUCCAUUCCAAAGCUCCAGCAGUGACCCCACAACAGGAACAUCAGUGCCAGCACUGGGAAUUCUGAAGACCAGACGGAAAAUAUUCCUCAGUGGAGCCCCAGUAUUUGAGUGACACAACAGCAACAUUCCCUCUAAGUGUGUGGGGCAGCCAGGUGAGAGAGGCUUUGUUGGCACUGCUGGGGAUGCUCUGACACCGACUCCUGGCCCCGCUGGAGGCUUCCAAGCACACCACGCUUUCCAAAUGGGAUUGCACCUGGAGAUCUGCACCUUCUCCAGCCUGGAAGGAGCAGCCAGAAUGAGAGUGCCUUGCUGAGGCUGUGCUGCAGACAGUGCCCAGAUCCCAAAAAAACAAUGGAAUAACCCCUUCAAGGCUCUUCUGUGCUCCCCUCUUGAUGGGAAAACACUGCUUGGCUCAGUUUUGCAUCAGCACAACUCUUCCCCAGCACAUCCUUUGGGACAGGAAUGGAGCAGCUCUUUGGGAAGUCUGUGAAGCCUUUGGUUUGUCAUGGCUGCUUCUGGGCACUGAUGGCACAGGAGGUGAGGGGAUCCCUUCUCUUCUCCUGAGGCAGCUUCCCUAAAAGAAAGGUCAGCCAUGAGGUCACUCAUUAUUGGACCAGAGCUCAGCUCUGGUUUCUUUUGCACUGUCCCUACCCCUCAGGUGCUGACUGCAAGCUCACACAGGUGAUGUUCCUUAAAUCCUUAACUCCCAGAAGGGCAGAAUUGCAUCAGAACCUCCACUUGCAGCUCACCUCACCUCACCUCACCCUCAUCUCUUACCUGGGCCAAGACAAGUGCUGCCCAUCUCACCCUUCAUGGAGAACACUGGAACAAGAAGAGUCGAGGCCACCAUCCUGCCUGCUAUGAGCUUCCCAGCUUGUCCAGCUGGAAAUUGUAAAAUUCCACGUACAGAACCUAGGCUUCUUGAGACCGGGGAGUGUGACAACCCAGUCUGCUCAGUGAUGGAAAGUUCGAAACUGGAAAUGUACCUGGAUGCCACCCUGAGUCAGCCCAAACCGAAGCAUCUCUACAAAACACCUAGAUGUGAACAAACUGCCGUCCUCUGACAAAAAUAUUCCGUCUGAGAAUUUCUGACCAGCUCCAGCGGUAAACACCUCCAGGGUGUCCUUUUUGUCUGAUACAGGGCAAAAAUUAUUCGGGUACCUGUUGCUCGGGUGGAAAGAUGAGGGAAUGGAAUACUAAAUUAAAGGAGUUGGAACAAAAA
ensembl:lncRNA